AUUGAACGCUGGCGGCAGGCCUAACACAUGCAAGUCGAGCGGAUGAAGGGAGCUUGCUCCUGGAUUCAGCGGCGGACGGGUGAGUAAUGCCUAGGAAUCUGCCUGGUAGUGGGGGAUAACGUCCGGAAACGGGCGCUAAUACCGCAUACGUCCUGAGGGAGAAAGUGGGUGAUCUUCGGACCUCACGCUAUCAGAUGAGCCUAGGUCGGAUUAGCUAGUUGGUGGGGUAAAGGCCUACCAAGGCGACGAUCCGUAACUGGUCUGAGAGGAUGAUCAGUCACACUGGAAGUGAGACACGGUCCAGACUCCUACGGGAGGCAGCAGUGGGGAAUAUUGGACAAUGGGCGAAAGCCUGAUACAGCCAUGCCGCGUGUGUGAAGAAGGUCUUCGGAUUGUAAAGCACUUUAAGUUGGGAGGAAGGGCAGUAAGUUAAUACCUUGCUGUUUUGACGUUACCAACAGAAUAAGCACCGGCUAACUUCGUG
rnacentral:rRNA from 1 species